UAACCACACUAAAGUGAAGUACGGGCCAAAUAAAUCGACUGCUAGUCCACACGCAGUCAUAAAACACAGGAAUUAGAGAGAGUACUGCGGAAGAGGGAUAACAAUGAAGAAAGCUGCUGCAUUUACGACAUCAACUCCAUCGUUUAUAACUAUUCGGAUUGGCGUAGUUCUCACAAUCAUUCUCCUCUACCUCAUUCCCCUGGCCUUCGCCAGCCGUCUUCUCUCCGGCAAAGAUGUGCACCUGCAAGGAACUUUUCCGUCCUUAGCUGGCCAAGCAGUCGCACGCAAUCUAGUACAAGUGGGUGGAGGAUAUCGUCAAGAUGGGGGGGGACAUGCGGGAUAGGGCCCACACCAUUAAAGUUCCUAAAGACGGCACUAUUUCAUCACAUGAUCAACUGCCCGAGGAGCUAGUAAUACAAACGGAUUAUGUAUACAAAGCUAAAGUAUUAAUUCUAUCAAAUUUCGUCCCAGUGAGUGAUUUUUACGACUCUUUUCCAAGAUCAUGCCGAAAGUAUGAGAUCUGAGAAAUUCGUAGUUCUUACAUUCUACAUGUAAGAUGUACGUUUAAAUAAGUCGUUAAUAUAAGGAGCUUAUAAAUAAGGUUUCGGUGUCUCACCGAUUUUGUGUAAGAUAAGUUACAAAAUAAUAAAAUUUCUUAAGGUUGAAUAAUAAGUUAUCCAGUUAUUUUAAUGCCAGUAAUGAAGUUACUGAACUGUCGUACCUGUCAUUUAACAAGUCACUUCAUUGACAAUCGCUGGAUAACCUGUGAUGCAUCUCAACUAUGUUUAAAGGGCCCCGAGUAAACUUUCUAGGUGCCCCUAGUCGAAGAUAAUCUCCACCUGUUACAUGAACUGAUUGAUGUUGGCUUUUUUGGUUUUUAUCCCCUUUUGAUAGGUAAUAUAGGACUUGUUCCCCCACCUUCUUUCGUCCAUUGUGCUUGUCUGUAAAUAUUAUCUUGAUAACAUUAGUAUUGUGCAUGUAUGCUGCACAUGCACUAUCUAUAAUAUCAAUUGCUUUAUCAAAAUGUUUCAUAUUAAACAUUAUUGUGUAAUGUGGAUUGUAUAUUAGAAAAAGGAAAAUGAAAGAAUAAAUCUCCAUUUGAAACUGUGCUUAUGCAGAUAUACAAUAAUCAUGAAAAAAUUUGAAUAAAAGGGAAAAUUUGGAAAAGUAAGAGAUAGCUGUGGGGCAAAAUUGCAAGAGUUCAUACUUUCAGGGCUCCAGUUAAAAGCCAGUCUAACGCAAUAAAUAGCCAAAUAAAUUAAAUACAUGAUAUACGUUCUGAACACCAGGAAAUAGAACGUACAUGAUUUCAGAAGACACUGAUGUGAACGAUAAUAUCCUUCAAAAGCUUCUUAUAGCUGAAACACGCAAGCAGUGUGUAGAUUUCAUGCAUGGAUCAUGGAUUUGGAGUAGGACACAUAUUUCCUUAUUCAAGUUUAGAUGGAUGUUUAUUUAUCUUAUACAAGGUAGGUUUCCCGUGCAUGCACAGGUUACUUUAUUAGUUACGUGCACAUCACGGUCUAAUAUAUUUGCAUAUAUAUCCGUUUAUUUGUAUUAUACUAAUAGAUAUGCACGCGUGUUGCGUAAUGAGAAUUAUCUUUAUUUAAAUUUCUAUUCUUCCUUUUGCUUUUAAAUUUUAAAUUUAAUAAGGCUUAUAAAUGCUAUUUGCAGAUGUUAUACAAUGCAUACACAGAUCAGAAAUUGAGGUAUCAGAAUACAAGAUCCGAAAGUUGAAAAUUCAAGAGCUCUUUCGGGAUAUCUUACAUUAAAUUAAUCCUAUUACUGGAGUAUAACUUGAUAUUUUCCUUUUUCCUCGAGUCAGUGAUCUACUUAUAUCAAAUUCACUGAUAAAAAAUUUACACAAUUUAGUGGCGAGAGAACUUUAAAUAAGACAUGGAGAAACUUGGUGCUAGCUUAAUAUAUUUAUUGAUUUAUUUACUAAAUUGAGAUUGCCGGUCAUAAAUCUAAUACUCUAUAUAGAAAAGGAGAAGUUCCAUCGUGUGUUUUCACUUUUUUUUUUAGGUGCCUUUUCGGUACUUAAAAUAACAAAGGCCUAGCAAACUGACAUGUGAUUUCAUUGGGCCUCCUCGCCUUAGAGGAGUAUAUUACUACUCUAUAUUCCCCUGCCUGCCUUCCCCCCCUUCCCCCCAAAGCGCCGACCAAAUCUGUCUAACCCUCCCCCACGGGCAACCUACGAAUUGCGUCCAACCCCAUUCUCCAACCUUCCUUCCUUCUUGAUUUCCACCUUCGUAGCAUCUUUGUGUGCCCACUUCUUUUCCUCCAUCCAUUAUUGGUGCCUCCAUCCAUCUUGUUGCUAAGAACAACAUGUUGCCUCUUGAACAGUUUGGUUUUAAUCCUUAUUGAAAUUGAAUGCGCCUAAAAUGGUCGGAUCUAUGGGUCUGUGUGCUAAUGCAAAUGUUACCAUGAAUGGGCUGUCUACACAUGCCGUUUUGACCGUUUCAUCCUUAGGAUCUAUAACUACUCAAGCGUAUAUCAUCACGCCUCCAAUUCCUUCUAAAGGUUUUGUCUGUGAAUGCUAGGUUGAUUUAUAUAGAAUGCUGGUUGAUUUAUAUUGUAAAACGAGUUUUUUUUUUUUAAGAAUACGUCGUCUUUUCUAGGUUCUUAUAUCAUCAUGUACCUAUAUUGUCUUUUCUAGGCUUUUGAGCUGACUAAAAAGCUUUCCAAUUUUAUAGAGAUCUUGCCAUAUUCGGCAUAUGAAUAUAAGCAUUUAUUCUCUCCUUCACCUAUGAUGAACAUAGAAGAGUUAGAGGCUUGAAAUGCAGAUCUAAGGAUGACAUAGAAAAAUGAGAGUCAAGGAAAAAGGUAGUAUACUUUUCUGCUCUCUGAGUUAGCCUAUCUUUAUCUGUAGUUGUACUAUGUCUUAUCUAUCGUAUUCAGAUCUACACCAAAGAAUCAUUUUAUUGCUAUUUUUUUUUAAGAAAUACAAAUGCAUGAAUCAUCUUCUUACUCUCUGUUCUUCUUAUUUCUUUCCUUUCUAUGUCUCCUAUCUGAUAUCUGCCAUGUGGCUUCUUCCGACGUCCUCUUUGUGCUGAUGGAACUUCUCAUCCUGUAAAUGCAAUUUGACGACAAGGUUGGUGUUACCUUCGUCUUUGUUGUGGUUGAAUUUCUUGCCAUGAAUGGGCUCCUCAAAUUAUCAGCACUACGAUUCCACUUGCUCAUACUGGUGCUACUUAUUAGUCUAUUCCACCAUACUAUUGGCAGAAUACUAAAGGUCUUGAAACUUUGAUGCUGAUAUGGAAGAGGAUAGUCUUGUUGCAAGGCAUGCAAGUGUUUCUGAAGAUAAAGUUGCUGCUAAGGAUUACGCUUUAUCCUUAAUACACUGUAGAUCAAGAAAACUAAAGGCUGCCUACCCUGGUAUGGCUAUGGCUAUUAACAAAUAGAGGAGAAGAAAACAGGGAGGAACAAAAAAACAUGUAAGGGAAAUUGCUUAUCUUUGAUUCCUUGAAUGAUGAUCUCAUGUCAAAAUAUAAGCAAUUUCAGUGAUCCCCAUAGUACAAAGGGCUCCCGAGCUCAUAUGAUACUCAAAACGUAGGUUAAAUGUUCCAAAGAAGUGUUCGCCUGUCCUGUAGGAUAAGACAAGUGCAAGAUUCUCCAAGAUAAAAAGGUCAUUAGAAGGUGCAACAACCACACAUCAAAUUCAAAUUAUCAAAGGAGUUCGUGCAAACUUCCAUUCCAAGCUAGAUGUUGGAUAUAUGGAACGUAUAUGCCUCGCCAUAGUUUUCAAGUACUUUCGGUUCUUGGCACUCAAAUUUUCAGUUGUGUCGUGUUGGGCUUUUGCUGGCGGUAAUGAGAUAUCACUUACCUAUUAAAUAAAAA